rnacentral:rRNA from 1 species
ACGAUGGGUGCUAGUGUCAGGGCAGCUUGCUGUUUGGUGACGCAGCUAACGCAUUAAGCACCCCGCCUGGGGAGUACGGUCGCAAGAUUAAAACUCAAAGGAAUGACGGGGGCCCCGCACAAGCGGUGGAGCAUGUGUUNAAUUNGACGCAACGCGCAGAACCUUACCAACCCUUGACAUGUCUCGUAUGGUUUCCAGAGAUGGAUUCCUUCAGUUCGGCUGGCGAGAACACAGGUGUUGCAUGGCUGUCGUCAGCUCGUGUCGUGAGAUGUUGGGUUAAGUCCCGCAACGAGCGCAACCCUCGCCUUUAGUUGCCAUCAUUUAGUUGGGCACUCUAGAGGGACUGCCGGUGAUAAGCCGGAGGAAGGUGGGGAUGACGUCAAGUCCUCAUGGCCCUUACGGGUUGGGCUACACACGUGCUACAAUGGCGGCGACAAUGGGCAGCGAAGGGGCGACCCGGUGCAAAUCCCAAAAAGCCGUCUCAGUUCGGAUUGUACUCUGCAACUCGAGUGCAUGAAGGUGGAAUCGCUAGUAAUCGCGUAACAGCAUGACGCGGUGAAUACGUUCCCGGGCCUUGUACACACCGCCCGUCACACCAUGGGAGUUGGUUUUACCCGAAGCUGGUGCGCUAACCGCAAGGAGGCAGCCAACCACGGUAAGGUCAGCGACUGGGGUGAAGUCGUAACAAGGUAGCCCUAGGGGAACCUGGGGCUGGAUCACCUCCUUAAGCUUGGAUUCCCGGG